GUUUGAUCAUGGCUCAGAACGAACGUUGGCGGCGUGGAUGAGGCAUGCAAGUCGCACGUGAAAGUCGCAAGACGAGUAAAGUGGCGGACGGGCGAGUAUUACGUAUUCAAGCUACCCUGGAGACGGGGAUAACCACGGGAAACCGUGGCUAAUACCCGAUGGUCCUGCUGGAUCGCAUGGUCUGGCAGGUAAAUGGAGGGGAUCCUACGGGACCUUCUGCUCUGGGAGGUGAUUACGGCCCAUCAGUUAGUUGGCGGGGUAACGGCCCACCAAGACGAUGACGGGUAGCCGGCCUGAGAGGGUGGUCGGCCGCACUGGGACUGAGACACUGCCCAGACUCCUACGGGAGGCUGCAGUCGAGAAUCUUCCGCAAUGGGCGCAAGCCUGACGGAGCGACGCCGCGUGGAGGACGAAGGCCUUCGGGUUGUAAACUCCUGUCACGGGUUAUGAAUGGCGCAGCGUGAACAAUGCUGCGAUUGACGUAAGCCCGAGAGGAAGCACUGGCUAACUCUGUGCCAGCAGCCGCGGUAAUACAGAGAGUGCAAACGUUGUUCGGAAUCACUGGGCAUAAAGCGCACGUAGGCGGCGCCACAAGUGCGGGGUGAAAUCCCACGGCUUACCCGUGGAACUGCCUGGUAGACUGUGGUGCUAGAGGAUGGUAGGGAUGAGCGGAACUCCUGGUGGAGCGGUGAAAUGCGUAGAGAUCAGGAGGAACACCGGUGGCGAAGGCGGCUCAUUGGUCCAUUACUGACGCUGAGGUGCGAAAGCUAGGGGAGCAAACGGGAUUAGAUACCCCGGUAGUCCUAGCUGUAAACGAUGGGUACUAGCUUGGGGUUUCCUUAUGUGAUCCCAGGUGAAGCAAAUGUGAUAAGUACCCCGC
rnacentral:rRNA from 1 species